CUCGCGGCGGCGGGCUCAUGGCGCCGGGGGCGCGGCUGCUCUUCCUGCUGGCGGUGUGGACGCUGGCUGCUCUGGCCCGGCACGGCGCCGGGAAGGCGGGCGAUGGAGGGUGGCAGCGGCCCGGACCCGGGGCGCCGGCGGCCCUGGCGGAGGAGCAUCGCUGCGCCGUGGAACGUCGGGGGGACCUCAGCUACUCCGAGUUCGUGCAGCAGUACGUGCGUCCCCUCGCACUGGCCACCCCUCCCACACCCCACUACGCCUUCUCCAGACCCGUCAUUCUGCAGGGGCUCACAGACAACUCGAGGUUCCGGGCUUUGUGCUCCCGAGAAAGGCUACUGGCCUCCUUUGGGGACAGCGUGGUUCGGCUGAGCACUGCCAAUACCUACUCCUACCGGAAAGUGGACCUGCCCUUUCAGGAGUAUGUGGAGCACUUGCUGUAUCCCCAGGACCCUACCUCUCUGGGCAACGCAGACACCUUGUAUUUCUUUGGGGACAACAAUUUCAGCGAAUGGGCAUCGCUCUUUCAGCACUACUCCCCACCACCAUUUAGUCUGCUGGGUACCACUGCUGCUUACAGUUUUGGAAUCGCAGGAGCUGGUUCUGGGGUGCCCUUCCACUGGCAUGGGCCCGGGUUCUCAGAGGUGAUCUACGGCCGCAAGGUCAGCACAGGAUGGGGGCUGGGGCUUGGGGCUUACUGACUGCAACAGAGUGACCCUAUUGCUCCCAUCCUCAGCGCUGGUUCCUAUACCCCCCUGAGAAGACACCCGACUUCCAUCCCAAUAAAACCACGCUGGCCUGGCUUCAGGACAUGUACCCAACCCUGGCACCAUCUGCAAGGCCCUUGGAGUGCACCGUCCAGGCUGGUGAGGUGCUGUAUUUCCCUGACCGGUGGUGGCAUGCCACGCUCAACCUGGACACCAGUGUUUUCAUCUCUACCUUCCUCAGCUAGCCAGAGUGGGCGGCUGGUGAUACCGCUGGGCGUGAUGCAUGGUUCCCGCAUGAGCUCAAAGCUGAUCUUGCCACAUAGAUAGUCCGGGAUGUCUCGCUUCUGCAGCACAUAGGGUGAGGUCAGGCACCAGGAUGGGGACGCUGGUCCAACUCCUGCUACCCAGAGGACAGACAGCUUACCUUUCUCUUCUCAUCCACCUGGGAGAAAAGCUCAUCCAUGUCUGCUAAAUACUUGUCCUGCGAAGAACCAAGCAGCUACGCGUGGGCCAGAUGCCCCAUCCCCCUCCCCCGGGCACACCCUCCCAUCACAGGCACGCAAACAUGCACACAUCCACACGUGGGCUGGGGCACCCUCACGUGCUUGGCCUCGAUGCAGGCCUGCUGGGCCCGGAUGUGGCCAUCGUCCUCAUCACCGUCGUGGUUCCGCUGACAUUCUUCUAGUUCCCUGGGGGUUGACCACGAGCUAGUCAGAAAUGGGUCUGGCCAGAAGAGAUCACACUCCACCCCAACCUUGGGCUCGUUCAGGUCUCGCCUUCCCUCCAUCUCCUGCUUGCCAAUAUUGGCCUUCAAUAAACACUUGUGUUCUUGACUCAGA